GAUGAACGCUGGCGGCGUGCCUAAUACAUGCAAGUCGAGCGAACAGACGAGGAGCUCGCUCUCCUGACGUUAGCGGCGGACGGGCGAGUAACACGUGGAUAACCUACCUAUAUGACUGGGAUAAUUUCGUGAAACCGGAGCUAAUACCGGAUAAUAUAUCGAACCGCAUGGUUCAAUAGUGAAAGACGGUUUUGCUGUUACUUAUAGAUGGAUCCGCGCCGCAUUAGCUAGUUGGUAAGGUAACGGCUUACCAAGGCAACGAUGCGUAGCCGACCUGAGAGGAUGAUCGGCCACACUGGAACUGAGACACGGUCCAGACUCCUACGGGAGGCAGCAGUGGGGAAUCUUCCGCAAUGGGCGAAAGCCUGACGGAGCAACGCCGCGUGAGUGAUGAAGGUCUUCGGAUCGUAAAGCUCUGUUAUUGGGGAAGAACAAAUGUGUAAGUAACUAUGCACGUCUUGACGGUACCUAAUCAGAAAGCCACGGCUAACUACGUG
rnacentral:rRNA from 1 species